rnacentral:lncRNA from 1 species
GAAGCUCUUGGGAGCAUGUGGACAGUUGUGGCUGCUCCUGAGCUGACACUAACUGCUCAUGACUCCUCUGUGGGAGAAGUAGGUGGUUUCCUAGAGGAAGAAGUUUGGGUAAUGAAGCCACAGAGAUUUGCUGAUACAUUUGCUAGGCACGACUUCUGGUCAUUUAGAAAGCUAUUUUGUGGCUUCAUCAAUAAGGUAUUCCCCAGCUGUGUUACUCCUUCGCAUUGUUAUCUCUUUCCCUGGAAUUGAAGGCUUCCUGGUCUGAGGCAAGGACAAUUAUUCCCUCACUGUCAACCCUGAUCUCUGGCUGCAGUAAUGAGUAGAGGAAGUGAAGAAAUAAGAAUGGAAGCAUAAUCAUUUGUCCGAGGUCACAGAGGGAGAUGAUUACACAGCUGGAAUGUAAGCCUCAGUACUUUACUGAAUCCUUGGCUUUGUCCAUGGGCCCAGCUACAGGCAUAAAGCUUUUCUCUUCCCCAGCAGUGACUUCGAGUACCAGCUUUCAAAUUUAUUUGACAUUGAAUCUAAGCUUUGUGACCAGUAUGUAGAAGGAGAAGAAGGGGAGGAAUUACUUAUCCUUUGGCAUACAUUAGCAUGCAAAUAAAUCCUUUCUCUGCAUUGUGGAAGGGUCUGAAAUUAUCACAUAUACAAUGUAUCUUUUAUCAAUGGCCUUGCAUACAAAUUUUACUUUGAAGAAUCCAGAUUUAGAGGUCUUCUCCAAACAUUUGCAUUGUUUCUUUUUCUUAGGAUCAGAACUUCUACCUAUUGUCAUUUUAAGAAAAAAGAUCAUGAAUUAAUUAAUUUAUUCAUUAUUUACACCCUUAUAUUCUUUCCCAAAUGUUUUAAUGUGGCUUACAUUGUAUACAUGUACACAAUAAAUAUUUAUAUUUAAAUAAGUUAUAAUCACAGAAUGAGAAUAUUAUUACAACCACUCAUACUCAUUCAAAUAGCUUGAUUAUAUCAUU